UACGGAGGGCGCAAGCGUUUUUCGGAAUCAUUGGGCGUAAAGCGCGUGUAGGCGGUUUGGUAAGUCGGGUGUGAAAUCCCGGGGCUCAACCCCGGAACUGUAUUCGAAACUGCCUGGCUAGAGUCCCGGAGGGGAGGGCGGAAAUCCCGGUGUAGAGGUGAAAUUCGUAGAUAACGGGAGGAACACCAGCGGCGAAGGCGGCCCUCUGGACGGUGACUGACGCUGAGACGCGAAAGCGUGGGGAGCAAACAGG
rnacentral:rRNA from 1 species